GACGAACGCUGGCGGCGUGCUUAACACAUGCAAGUCGAACGGAAAGGCCCUGCUUUUGUGGGGUGCUCGAGUGGCGAACGGGUGAGUAACACGUGAGUAACCUGCCCUUGACUUUGGGAUAACUUCAGGAAACUGGGGCUAAUACCGGAUAGGAGCUCCUGCUGCAUGGUGGGGGUUGGAAAGUUUCGGCGGUUGGGGAUGGACUCGCGGCUUAUCAGCUUGUUGGUGGGGUAGUGGCUUACCAAGGCUUUGACGGGUAGCCGGCCUGAGAGGGUGACCGGCCACAUUAGGACUGCGAUACGGCCCAGACUCCAACGGGAGGCAGCAGUGGGGAAUAUUGCACAAUGGGCGGAAGCCUGAUGCAGCAACGCCGCGUGCGGGAUGACGGCCUUCGGGUUGUAAACCGCUUUCGCCUGUGACGAAGCGUGAGUGACGGUAAUGGGUAAAGAAGCACCGGCUAACUACGUG
rnacentral:rRNA from 1 species